AUAGCGUAUAUUAAAGUUGUUGCAGUUAAAAAGCUCGUAGUUGAAUUUUGGACCUGGCUGGGUGGUCUUGCCGAAAGGUAAGCACUGCUCUGGUCGGGUCUUUCCUUCUGGAGAACCAGCGUGCUCUUAACUGGGUGCGCUGGGGAUCCAGGACUUUUACUUUGAAAAAAUUAGAGUGUUUAAAGCAGGCCUACGCUUGAAUACAUUAGCAUGGAAUAAUAGAAUAGGACUUUGGUUCUAUUUUGUUGGUUUCUAGGACCGAAGUAAUGAUUAAUAGGGAUAGUUGGGGGCAUUGGUAUUGAGUCGCUAGAGGUGAAAUUCUUGGAUUGACUCAAGACCAACUAUUG
rnacentral:rRNA from 1 species